rnacentral:rRNA from 1 species
AGAGUUUGAUCCUGGCUCAGAUUGAACGCUGGCGGAAUGCUUUACACAUGCAAGUCGAACGGCAGCACGGGGGCAACCCUGGUGGCGAGUGGCGAACGGGUGAGUAACACAUCGGAACGUGCCCAGUCGUGGGGGAUAACUACGCGAAAGCGUAGCUAAUACCGCAUACGAUCUGAGGAUGAAAGCGGGGGACCUGCGAGGGCCUCGCGCGAUUGGAGCGGCCGAUGGCAGAUUAGGUAGUUGGUGGGGUAAAGGCCUACCAAGCCUGCGAUCUGUAGCUGGUCUGAGAGGACGACCAGCCACACUGGGACUGAGACACGGCCCAGACUCCUACGGGAGGCAGCAGUGGGGAAUUUUGGACAAUGGGCGCAAGCCUGAUCCAGCCAUUCCGCGUGCAGGAUGAAGGCCCUCGGGUUGUAAACUGCUUUUGUACGGAACGAAACGCGCCGAGUUAAUACCUUGGCGUAAUGACGGUACCGUAAGAAUAAGCACCGGCUAACUACGUGCCAGCAGCCGCGGUAAUACGUAGGGUGCGAGCGUUAAUCGGAAUUACUGGGCGUAAAGCGUGCGCAGGCGGUGAUGUAAGACAGAUGUGAAAUCCCCGGGCUCAACCUGGGAACUGCAUUUGUGACUGCAUUGCUGGAGUGCGGCAGAGGGGGAUGGAAUUCCGCGUGUAGCAGUGAAAUGCGUAGAUAUGCGGGAGGAACACCGAUGGCGAAGGCAAUCCCCUGGGCCUGCACUGACGCUCAUGCACGAAAGCGUGGGAGCAAACAG